rnacentral:misc_RNA from 1 species
GAUGAAGAACGUAGCGAAAUGCGAUAAGUAAUGUGAGUUGCAGAAUUCAGUGAAUCAUCGAAUCUUUGAACGCACAUUGCGCCCCUUGGUAUUCCGAGGGGCAUGCCUGUUCGAGCGUCAUAUUAACCACUCCCGCUUGCGGGGUCUUGGGCUUCGCCUCCGGGCGGGCCUUAAAAUCAGUGGCGGUGCCGUCGGGCUCUACGCGUAGUAAAUUUUCUCGCGAUAGGGUCCCGGUGGAUGCUUGCCAACAACCCCCAACUUCUUAAGGUUGACCUCGGAUCAGGUAGGGAUACCCGCUGAACUUAAGCAUAUCAAUAAGCGGAGA